AGUGAACGCUGGCGGCAGGCCUAACACAUGCAAGUCGAGCGGGGUUUUCGGACCUAGCGGCGGACGGGUGAGUAAUGCGUAGGAAGCUGCCCGAUAGAGGGGGAUACCAGUUGGAAACGACUGUUAAUACCGCAUAAUGUCUACGGACCAAAGUGUGGGACCUUCGGGCCACAUGCUAUCGGGUGCGCCUACGUGGGAUUAGCUAGUUGGUGAGGUAAUGGCUCACCAAGGCGACGAUCUCUAGCUGGUUUGAGAGGAUGAUCAGCCACACUGGAACUGAGACACGGUCCAGACUCCUACGGGAGGCAGCAGUGGGGAAUAUUGGACAAUGGGCGCAAGCCUGGUCCAGCCAUGCCGCGUGUGUGAAGAAGGCCUUCGGGUUGUAAAGCACUUUCAGCGAGGAGGAAGGGAUGUAUGUUAAUAGCAUGCAUUUUUGACGUUACUCGCAGAAGAAGCACCGGCUAACUCUGUGCCAGCCGCCGCCGUAAUAC
rnacentral:rRNA from 1 species